GAUCUUAUGCCAGGAUCUGUGAUUGAACGCAAAGAUUCUCAUAGAAGACGUGAGAAAGAUAGGAAUAAGAGAAGCAUUAGGCUCUCCAACUCAACCGCAAAUAGAACCAGUCAGAGGGGCGCCAUACAGCAUUUUUGAUUCCAAUAGAGCUGGUAAAGGUGUCUGCCCUCCAUUCAUUCAUUUUAGCUUUCUCAUUAGCCAAUUCACUAGCCGCUUCUCGUAUUAAAUCUAUAACUCCUAUAUCAGAAGAUACAUAUGCUAUGACAAGACGCUUUAUAUUCUCUACUGCUUUCCUUCAGGUGUGCUGGC
rnacentral:lncRNA from 1 species